UGGUAGUGAUGACGGUCACAGCAGCUGCUCUCUGUGGCCCUACUGUGUUCACAGCUGGUGCUGAGCCACA